CCUACGGGAGGCAGCAGUAAGGAAUAUUGGUCAAUGGACGAAAGUCUGAACCAGCCAUGCCGCGUGAAGGAUGAAGGCCCUCUGGGUUGUAAACUUCUUUUAUCUGGGACGAAAAAAGCUCAUUCUUGAGCACUUGACGGUACCAGAGGAAUAAGCACCGGCUAACUCCGUGCCAGCGGCCGCGGUAAUACGGAGGGUGCAAGCGUUAUCCGGAUUUACUGGGUUUAAAGGGUGCGUAGGUGGGCAGUUAAGUCAGUGGUGAAAUCUCCGAGCUUAACUCGGAAACUGCCAUUGAUACUAUCUGUCUUGAAUAUCCUGGAGGUGAGCGGAAUAUGUCAUGUAGCGGUGAAAUGCUUAGAUAUGACAUAGAACACCAAUUGCGAAGGCAGCUCACUACGGGAUUAUUGACACUGAGGCACGAAAGCGUGGGGAUCAAACAGGAUUAGAUACCCUGGUAGUCCACGCCCUAAACGAUGGAUACUCGACAUCAGNGAUACACUGUUGGUGUCGUGAGAGAAAGAGAUUAAGUAGUCCGUAACCGUCGGUAAGGUUACGAGUACGCGAAGAAGUUAGAACGUUACGAAGGAAGUUAGAGGCGNGAGACGNGCGACGGACGACGACGAGGGAGGAGG
rnacentral:rRNA from 1 species